CAGCCAAGAAGGCAUUGUUGACUCCCGUGAGAUCACAGAGGUGGUUGCACAGGCCCCGCCCACUUCUCCUGCAGCUUCGGUUCCCCUCCUGGCCCCCAGGGGACACCCCCACCCCCCUCUUCCAGGGAGCUGCUGGUCAAGGGUCAGGGGUCCAUGGGAGCUGAGGGCUGGCAUCUCCCACGCUCCCUCAGCAACCAUCAGGAUAUGAGGGUCACAGGCCUCCCUUUUCCUCCUGUUCCUGCUUGUCUGGAAGGCCCCCACCCCGGCUGCGCUGGUCCCCAGGCCCUGACUAUCUCAAGGAGCCAAUCUGAAAAGAUGCAGGCUGGUGGUCACUGCCCCACAGAGCGGAGGCCGGGUGUGUGGGGGUGAGUGGAGGGGCCGCUGGUUGCCAAGGGCACACAGUCAGGCAUGAGGCCCCGGUGGAAGUGGGCGUACUAAAGGGCCCUGGCUUGGCACUUCCUCACUUCUGCUCUCUGGACUCUGUCUAGACCAGACCAUGAGCCUCCUCAAAUUAGCUGUAGACGUGCGAAGGCCAUUUUUCUGGGGGAGGGGUUGAAGCCUUCAUCUGUCAGGGGGCCUCUGUUCUAAAACUCUCCGACCCAGCCCUGCCUGGUUCAAAGCCUCCGCUAGGCUCGCACCAGCUCGGACCGGGUGAGAAGCAGCAGCAGAGUGGCCGCUGCCAGUCCUAAGAGCCCUGGGUGACACCUUCCUCACCAAAGAUCCCUAAAAAAGGCUUCCCUGGGGCCUGGAGGCAGCAGUCAUCUCUGAUGGACAGGAAAUCCAAAACGUUUCCUCCCACCUGUGGACUGGUCAGGGGGGAUGACAGGAGGCCUGAGGCCCAGAAAGGGAAGUGGCAGGGCCCUCAGACCUGAGUCCUGGGCCCCUCUUCCCCUCUUGAGACACAUUCCCCUCGAUCUUCUCUUCUGUGGAAUGGAGGGGCAGGCCCCCAGGCUCUGUUGUCCACCUCAGCACUGACUCCCCUCUUCCCUGUCCUAGGCCUUGGGUUGGUGGCAGGCGCCUUCGGCUGGCCCUCUACUCUCCCUCCCUCUCUCUGGCCCUGCCCAGCCCCUGCCCAUCUGUGAACCUCCCAGAAGCCUCAGCACCCCCUGAGUCCCCUGGGAGGCCCUGGGAGGAACAGCCGGCCGUGAGAACUCCCAGAAUCCCUUCUGAGGGAGACCUCUCCAGAGACCCCCAGGAAGAGAUCCCGGCAAACCCAGGUGCAAGAGCCCCUCAUGGAGCCCCCCAUGGAGCCCCCAGGCAAGCAGCCCCCGCAAGAGAGCCCACCCGAGGACUCAGCCCCUGAGACCACCCCCAGCGCGCACAUUCUCUACGUGGACCACCUGAACCCCCAGUUCUCGGUGCCCGUGCUUGCCUGCCUGCUUCGGGACACGCUGGAGCGGCUGGAGCUGCCGGUGGCACGCGAGCACAUCGAGGUGGUGAGGCGCCCACGGAAGGCCUACGCACUGGUGCAGGUGAUGGCCCAUGAGGCCACUCUGGCCGCCCUCCCCUGGCGCCUGCAAGCGGCCCUGGAGGAGCACCAGAUCCCCAAGGAGCUGGUGGCCCGCGGGAAGGAGCUGGUGCUGGGUGAGGGCCCAGGGCCCUCGAGCGGCAAGGAGGAGGAGGACAGCGGCCCAAGUCCCCGCUCCUACCCCAGCCCCGCCCACAGCACCCCAACGCGGGCCCGGAAGGGGUCCCGGGGCCAGCCCCGCGGCACGCGCUCCGACAGCGCCAUCGUGCGCCAGGAGAUCGAGGGUCAGGAGCGCCUCUUCCAGGGCGCCUUCCUGGGCAAUGAGACGCGCAGCGUGGAGUUCAAGCGCGGGGGCGGCGAGUACCUGAGCCUGGCCUUCAAGCACCACCUGCGGCGCUACGUGUGCGCCUUCCUCAACAGCGAGGGCGGCAGCCUGUUCGUGGGCGUCGAGGACAGCGGCCUGGUGCAGGGCGUCCGCUGCGGCCACCGCGACGAGGACCGCGUGCGCCUGCUAGUGGACUCCAUCCUGCAGGGCUUCCAGCCCCAGGUCUUCCCCGACGCCUACACGCUCUCCUUCAUCCCGGUGGUCAGCGCCUCGGCCGGCAGCACGCCCCUCAAGGUGAUCCGCCUGAGCGUGCACGCCCCCAAGGCCCAGGCGGAGCCGCAGCUCUAUGAGACCGACCAGGGGGAGGUGUUCCUGCGGCGGGACGGGAGCAUCCAGGGCCCGCUGUCCGGCCAUGCCAUCCAGGAGUGGUGCAGGCAGAAGUGGGCAGCCGAGCUGAGCAAGCUGGAGCAGAGACUGAAGGCGCUGACUGCGGAGAAGGAGCAGCUCCAGCAGCAGCUGCAGCAGCGCGCACCGGUCUCCUGCACCUGCUGCGUCCUGUGAGCACCCGUUCUUUGUCUAGGAGACAGUGAAAUGGACAGGAAAUGGACAGUGAAAUGGACAUCAUCACCCCAGCACCCACCAGCACCUGCACAGGGUGUGACCUCCAGCCCAAGCACCCUGCAGCCACUGGCACGUCCCGGACCACACGGAUAUUGCCCACCGGCUGUGACAUCAAGAGCACGACACACAGAGCAUGUCUCGUUCUGCGUUAUUUAUUUCUUAAGUUAGAGGAUACACGGAGUCUCGGCCAGAGGAGAGCAGGUCCA